UAAUGUUGCAGAUCUCUUAGAAAUUGUCUAGCAAGUUUUCUGGCUCUAACUAGAAGACCCUA
rnacentral:snRNA from 1 species